rnacentral:lncRNA from 1 species
UGUUGCUGUGGAAACACAAAGCCCAAAUCCUCAAAGAACACUCUGUUCUAGUCCCAGCUGCUGUAUCCAUCUGCGUUGUAUCUCAUUAGCAGAAGAGCCUAGUGAGAUAGGAGUUGCAUCUCUGCUCAUCCAGAUCUCUAGAGAAGGGAUCUACCCCUGGACUUUUUCCUGGGUCUGCUGGAUUUUGCUGGGGGUCCACUCCAGAAGCUGUUUUCCUGGGUAUCACCAGCAGAGGCUGCAGAACAGCAAAGAUGGCUGCCUGUUCCUUCCUCUGGAAGCUUCAUCCCAGAGGAGCACCCGCCAGAUGCCAGUGGAAUCUCUCCUGCGUGAGGUGUCUGUCAACCCUUGGAAGCACCGGGGUCAGGGACCCAUUUGAGGAGGAAUCUAGAGAGGCAGUCUGUCUACAGCGGUUUUGUCAAAACUCCUUAUUGUUUAACUAAGAAAAAAAAAUCCCCCAAACAGUUUCUGACUUUUGUUUCCUUGGUUCAUCUUCCUCUCAUUGUAUCACAGGGCUACUUGAUUGUAUUUCAGUAUUCAAUUUAUAUAUUUCAUAUUCUGCUGAAUGCAUAGAAUAUAAAUUAAAAAUUCUUUUUCUCAAGCAAGUCAAUUCCUAUGUUGUCUAUCUAAUAUAGGAUUUAUUUACCUCAGCACUACUG